rfam:Ictidomys tridecemlineatus contig095319, whole genome shotgun sequence.
GUGGCUGUAGCUCAGUGGUAGAGCGCUUGCCUUACACAUGUGAGGCACUGGGUUUGAUUCUCAGCACCACA